rnacentral:rRNA from 1 species
CCCAGACUCCUACGGGAGGCAGCAGUGGGGAAUAUUGCACAAUGGGGGGAACCCUGAUGCAGCGACGCCGCGUGGGUGAAGGAGCACCUCGGUGCGUAAAGCCCUAUCGGCAGGGAAGAAAAGCGAACAGGUUCGCCUGGACGGUACCUGACUAAGAAGCCCCGGCUAACUACGUGCCAGCAGCCGCGGGAAUACGUAGGGAGCAAGCGUUAUCCGGAAUUAUUGGGCGUAAAGGGUGCGUAGACGGCAGUGCAAGUCUGGAGUGAAAGCCCGGGGCCCAACCCCGGAACUGCUCUGGAAACUGUGCGGCUAGAGUACUGGAGGGGCAGGCGGAAUUCCUAGUGUAGCGGUGAAAUGCGUAGAUAUUAGGAGGAACACCAGUGGCGAAGGCGGCCUGCUGGACAGUAACUGACGUUGAGGCUCGAAAGCGUGGGGAGCAAACAGGAUUAGAUACCCUAGUAAU